rnacentral:rRNA from 1 species
CCGAUUGACUAAGGUUUCCAGAGGAAGGCUCGUCCGCUCUGGGUUAGUCGGGUCCUAAGCUGAGGCCGACAGGCGUAGGCGAUGGAUAACAGGUUGAUAUUCCUGUACCACCUAUAAUCGUUUUAAUCGAUGGGGGGACGCAGUAGGAUAGGCGAAGCGUGCGAUUGGAUUGCACGUCUAAGCAGUAAGGCUGAGUAUUAGGCAAAUCCGGUACUCGUUAAGGCUGAGCUGUGAUGGGGAGAAGACAUUGUGUCUUCGAGUCGUUGAUUUCACACUGCCGAGAAAAGCCUCUA